rnacentral:rRNA from 1 species
CAGGCCUAACACAUGCAAGUCGAACGGAGCCGCAAGGCUUAGUGGCAAACGGGUGCGUAACGCGUAAGCAACCUGCCCGCAACUGGGGGAUAGCCCGGCGAAAGCUGGGGUAAACCCGCACGGUCCAGUGGUCUCACCUGGGGUUACUGGUAAACAUUUAUGGGUUGCGGAGGGGCUUGCGUCUGAUUAGCUAGUUGGCAGGGUAACGGCCUACCAAGGCUUUGAUCAGUCGGGGUUCUGAGAGGAUUGGCCCCCACAUGGGUACUGAGAGACGGACCCAACUCCUACGGGAGGCAGCAGUAGGGAAUAUUGGGCAAUGGGCGAGAGCCUGACCCAGCCAUGCCGCGUGGAGGAUGACGGCGCUCAGCGUUGUAAAAAUCACUAGUGA